GCGCUGAUAGUGAAAUGGUUAUCAUACAUGCCUUCCAAGCAUGUGGUCGGGGUUCGAUUCCCCGUCAGCGCA
rnacentral:tRNA from 1 species